ACCCCUGGAAAGGAAACAAACUGCACUGAAAUCUUAUUUCUUAAGACUGCAACACCCUCCAGGUCCUGACAACCCCAUGACCACCAGAUGACACCAGCCCUUUUCUCAGUUUUUGAUUUGCAGUUUGCUUGAGUAAGAGGGAGAUAUUUGUCAGAGUGGAAUUACUUUCUUCACAGCUUAUGCCAUCCAGCACAUGCCCAACAUGAAGAAUUCCCAGUUCCAUCAGAGUAAGAAUUGGAGAAGAAAACAUCUGGCAUCUAGAGUGUUAAAACUUACAUUUCAAAUUCAGUAUAUUCAGAAAGAAUUUUGCUCAAUCACUUGGGCAAGGAAGGCCAGAUACAUGGAUGCAGCACUACCACUGAUGGAGCAAGGAAGUAUACAGAAUCUGGCCUUUCAUUUUUGUCCUUUACUAAAAAUUUAACCUUCUGUGACCUGCAGAUGGCCUGUGCAGAGAACAGCUCUUCCUGUCCUCUUUCUAACGCCUACAAUGCAUCCUGUCCGAACAACCACCACCUACAAAAUUUUACAGCGGUCUAAGUAUGAGGAUCAAGUUCCACAUCUCCAGUACUGGUGUGAUAGGAAGGGGAUGUCCUACAGGAGCAUUUGCACCCUAUGUAUUUUUUCCAUUUAAAGAAGACACACAUGUCAGAAGCAGUUAAGAUUACAUGGAGAUUAUAUGACCUGUACCUACAGCAGAAGAGGAGACUCCUCUAUUCUUGGUGCAAUCCUGUUUAUUUACUUUAUAUAAAAUCCUGUUUUUCCAAGCAGAAUAAGAAAGAAAAGUACAACUCAACCAACAGUUUCCAUUGUCCACAAUACCCACAUCCUCCUUUAAAACACAAAUCCCUCUUCAGCCAUGGUUUCACAAAACAAAGCAUUCUGCAACAAUGCUGGCUUACACUGCUCCUGAUUCCAAGCUGUGAAUUCAGUCAGGGAAUUGAUCUGACUUCAGAAAAGUCUGGAACAAAUGCCUUGGUAUUUUCUUAGGCUGGGUAAAUUUGCCAACUCAAUUCAAAAGGACCCCCAGAACAGCUGAGGAAAUAGCAACAGCACCAGAUUUGUCUUUCUCCAGCACUCAAAGAAGCUACAUAUUCAGUGAGCCUAGAUUUCUUUGUCGACCCAGACUCAAAGAAAAUCUCUUGUCUCCAGAUUGCCUCACCUCUCUGGUGUCCCAAUGGGAUGAUGCAGACAGCAAGAAGAAAAUUUUAGUGGAGGAAAAGAGAAGUGGAAAGUGCCCAGCAAUUACAGCAUUGUCAUUUCAGGGGAAUUUCAUUUAAUGGAAGUUUCACCCAGAAAACAAUAUGAUUCCUUAUUCAGGACCUAAAUACCUAUGUUACCUUGAUUAUUCAGUCAAUGCAGACAUAAAAGUCAGUAAAAGCAAUGACAACCAUUUAAUGUAGAGUAACAUUCAACUGUGAAAACAUUUUCAGAAUCAUUAGUGAAUCAUUAUUGAUCAUUAUCAAAUAAUUUUGGUAAUGAUUUCAGAAUCAUUGACUGAUUUGUGGUUCUUCUGGAACUCACCGAUCC